GAUCAUAAAGACGGGUAACGGCAGUGAACCCAAUGGGGUUCUGUGUGUUUUAUGGUAUUGCAUGUAUUUACAUGCUCCCGCCGAUACAGAAACUUUCGGAUCGCUAUUACGGUUUCUUUAAAUUCUUCCAGCAACGCUUCAGCAAAAUCAAUAUUACCUAUCAAUACUUCACAAAAAAAAAUAAAUAAAAGGAGAAAGUACAGACUUUAACGUAUAGGGUUUGUGUAACAUCGUCUUCAUAAUAUACCACUGUUAACUGAAUUCUCAUUCGAGUAAUUGUAUUCAGGGGUUGCAGAGCAUGGAUUUUUAUUAUCAAUGCCUAAUGUAAUUUAUAUUACGUAUGAUAUAAAUAUCGCGCCUUGGUCACAAAGGUCAAACAACUCUAAAAUUGGCGUUUUUGAGUUAAUAAAAAUAUGUGUUAAUACUAUACAAUUUCCAUUGCUGAGGUUCCAAUCUUUAACCACGCGAAGUGACACUUGUGUAGUCGUAAAACUCGCCACCCAGAGGACAGAAGUGUUGUCAUCGUAGCGCGCCGGUUUUGAACCGGAUGGGCAUCAAGUAUGUCGUUUCAAACGUUUCGCAGCCAACUUUACACCAGUUAUAAGACUUGAAUAGUUACACAAUAUCUCAAAUUGUGACACUUCAUACGAAUAAGUGUCAUUUUGAAUCUGGUCACUACCUGUUGUUUCGACGAAGAUCGUGAACCUGGAGACUGAGGAGGCAAUAACUUGUCGAAUUGGCGCGUCAAUGCAACUUGUAGAACAGCUUGGAAACAACUUCAGCAACACGACGAAUGGUGACGUAGUUAAAAUGGGCGAUAUGAAGGUGUUAAAGUCGUUAAGGAUGGAUUGGGAAUACUGUAUUUUAAAACGUCGUGUGACAGCAGGAUUACGCCAGGAUUAAGGUGAAAG